GACGAACGCUGGCGGCGUGCUUAACACAUUCAAGUCGAACGAAGUGGCGAACGGGUGAGUAACGAGUAAUCAACCUGCCCUUCAGAGGGGGACAACAGGUGGAAACGACUGCUAAUACCGCAUAGCGCAGGAGGGGAUGGCGUCUGAUUAGCUCGUUGGAGGGGUAACGGCCCACCAAGGCGAUUAUCAGUAGCCGGUAUGAGAGGAUUAACGGCCACAUGGGGACUGAGACACGGCCCAGACGCCUACGGGAGGCAGAAGUGGGGAAUCUGCCGCAAUGGACGAAAGUCUGACGGAGCAACGCCGCGUGAGUGAUGACGGCCUUCGGGUUGUAAAGCUCUGUUAAUCGGGACGCGGUACCGGAAUAGAAAGCCACGGCUAACUACGUGCCAGCCGCCGCGGUAAUAC
rnacentral:rRNA from 1 species